rnacentral:tRNA from 1 species
ACCUUUAUAGCUCAAUUGGUAGAGUACCUCUCCUACAAAGAGGAAGUUAUAGGUUCAAGUCCUAUUGAAGGUACCA